UACGAAGGGGGCUAGCGUUGUUCGGAAUUACUGGGCGUAAAGCGCACGCAGGCGGAUUGAUUAGUCAGGGGUGAAAUCCCGGGGCUCAACCUCGGAAUUGCCUUUGAUACUGUCAGUCUUGAGUCCGGGAGAGGUGAGUGGAAUUCCUAGUGUAGAGGUGAAAUUCGUAGAUAUUCGCAAGAACACCAGUGGCGAAGGCGGCUUACUGGUCCGGUUCUGACGCUGAGGCGCGAAAGCGUGGGGAGCAAACAGG
rnacentral:rRNA from 1 species